CCUGGUAGUCCACGCCGUAAACGAUGAGUGCUAAGUGUUAGAGGGUUUCCGCCCUUUAGUGCUGCAGCAAACGCAUUAAGCACUCCGCCUGGGGAGUACGGUCGCAAGACUGAAACUCAAAGGAAUUGACGGGGGCCCGCACAAGCGGUGGAGCAUGUGGUUUAAUUCGAAGCAACGCGAAGAACCUUACCAGGUCUUGACAUCCUCUGACAACCCUAGAGAUAGGGCUUCCCCUUCGGGGGCAGAGUGACAGGUGGUGCAUGGUUGUCGUCAGCUCGUGUCGUGAGAUGUUGGGUUAAGUCCCGCAACGAGCGCAACCCUUGAUCUUAGUUGCCAGCAUUCAGUUGGGCACUCUAAGGUGACUGCCGGUGACAAACCGGAGGAA
rnacentral:rRNA from 1 species